rnacentral:miRNA from 1 species
CAGGGCAGAGGGCACAGGAAUCUGA